ACAAUGUUUAUUUAUAGAAUUUCUAAAAUUACAACGAACAAAAUAAACAAAAAAAAUAGUGACAGAGCAGUAGUUGUGAUCUGUGCUCCCUGACAGAUUCACGUAUACAUGGACAGAUACAAAAAUU
rnacentral:ribozyme from 12 species